rnacentral:rRNA from 1 species
UACGAAGGGUGCAAGCGUUACUCGGAAUUACUGGGCGUAAAGCGUGCGUAGGUGGUUUGUUAAGUCUGCUGUGAAAGCCCUGGGCUCAACCUGGGAAUUGCAUUGGAUACUGGCAGGCUAGAGUGCGGUAGAGGAUGGCGGAAUUCCCGGUGUAGCAGUGAAAUGCGUAGAGAUCGGGAGGAACAUCUGUGGCGAAGGCGGCCAUCUGGACCAGCACUGACACUGAGGCACGAAAGCGUGGGUAGCAAACAGG